ensembl:lncRNA
CUCUCACAAACGCACACACUACACCCAGCUGCGUCCCUGCUCCACUUCCUCUGAGGAUGGCCUCCAGUCUGGCAGACCACAGCCCAGAAAGAACGAGUUGGAGAGAAAGGGAGAGCAGGAAAAGAGGGAGGAAGAGGGGUAGAGAGAACAGGAGAAAGGGAGAGCAGGAAAAGAGGGAGGAAGAGGGGUAGAGAGAACGGGAGAAAGUGAGAGCAGGAAAUAGGUGGAGAUGGAAUCAGGGCCAAUGUUCUGUGAAUAAUAGGUGAGGAGAUGGAAUCAGGGACAAUAUCCCAUGAAUAAUAGUUGAGGAGAUGGAAUCAGGGACAAUAUUCUGUGAAUAAUAGGUGAGGAGAGGGAAUCUGGGACAAUAUUCUGUGAAAAAUAGGUGAGGAGAUGGAAUCAGGGACAAUAUUCUGUGAAUAAUAGGUGAGGAGAUGGAAUCAGGG